rnacentral:rRNA from 1 species
GACGAACGCUGGCGGCGUGCCUAAUACAUGCAAGUCGAACGCUUUUUCUUUCACCGGAGCUUGCUCCACCGAAAGAAAAAGAGUGGCGAACGGGUGAGUAACACGUGGGUAACCUGCCCAUCAGAAGGGGAUAACACUUGGAAACAGGUGCUAAUACCGUAUAACACUAUUUUCCGCAUGGAAGAAAGUUGAAAGGCGCUUUUGCGUCACUGAUGGAUGGACCCGGGGUGCAUUAGCUAGUUGGUGAGGUAACGGCUCACCAAGGCAACGAUGCAUAGCCGACCUGAGAGGGUGAUCGGCCACACUGGGACUAAGACACGGCCCAGACUCCUACGGGAGGCAGCAGUAGGGAAUCUUCGGCAAUGGACGAAAGUCUGACCGAGCAACGCCGCGUGAGUGAAGAAGGUUUUCGGAUCGUAAAACUCUGUUGUUAGAGAAGAACAAGGAUGAGAGUAGAACGUUCAUCCCUUGACGGUAUCUAACCAGAAAGCCACGGCUAACUACGUGCCAGCCGCCGCGGUAA